rnacentral:lncRNA from 1 species
CAUCACUUGUCUUUUCAAAGUUGGCAUUCAACAGUUCUUGCACAGGUGUCGCCUAGACAGCUUCUCUGUAUGAAGUCUGCACUGAAGGAGUGGGGAAGACCUUGAGGACCUUCUGAUGGAGUUCAUCUUUCUGCAGCCCCGGAGACUGUAAUUCAGACACCGCCCCCAAAAGAAGUCUGGAAACUUUGAGUCUCGCCACGUGCAGGACAGAGGAGUCCAACACCAUUAUCACCCUCUAUGCACAGACUGCUGGCUGCCACACUAACAUAUCUAAGGCACGUGCUCAAGGGCUCAGAGGUUCCCAGUCACCCAGAAAAUAAACUUUUAA